rnacentral:rRNA from 2 species
UUGGCCGGGCGACGGUUGUCCCGGUUUAAGCGUGUAGGUGUGUGUUCCAGGUAAAUCCGGUUCACUUUAACACUGAGGCGUGACGACGAGGCACUACGGUGCUGAAGCAACAAAUGCCCUGCUUCCAGGAAAAGCCUCUAAGCAUCAGGUAACAUCAAAUCGUACCCCAAACCGACACAGGUGGUCAGGUAGAGAAUACCAAGGCGCUUGAGAGAACUCGGGUGAAGGAACUAGGCAAAAUGGUGCCGUAACUUCGGGAGAAGGCACGCUGACACGUAGGUGAAGUGAUUUACUCAUGGAGCUGAAGUCAGUCGAAGAUACCAGCUGGCUGCAACUGUUUAUUAAAAACACAGCACUGUGCAAACACGAAAGUGGACGUAUACGGUGUGACGCCUGCCCGGUGCCGGAAGGUUAAUUGAUGGGGUCAGCGCAAGCGAAGCUCCUGAUCGAAGCCCCGGUAAACGGCGGCCGUAACUAUAACGGUCCUAAGGUAGCGAAAUUCCUUGUCGGGUAAGUUCCGACCUGCACGAAUGGCGUAAUGAUGGCCAGGCUGUCUCCACCCGAGACUCAGUGAAAUUGAACUCGCUGUGAAGAUGCAGUGUACCCGCGGCAAGACGGAAAGACCCCGUGAACCUUUACUAUAGCUUGACACUGAACAUUGAGCCUUGAUGUGUAGGAUAGGUGGGAGGCUUUGAAGUGUGGACGCCAGUCUGCAUGGAGCCGACCUUGAAAUACCACCCUUUAAUGUUUGAUGUUCUAACGUGGACCCGUUACCCGGGUUGCGGACAGUGUCUGGUGGGUAGUUUGACUGGGGCGGUCUCCUCCUAAAGAGUAACGGAGGAGCACGAAGGUUGGCUAAUCCUGGUCGGACAUCAGGAGGUUAGUGCAAUGGCAUAAGCCAGCUUGACUGCGAGCGUGACGGCGCGAGCAGGUGCGAAAGCAGGUCAUAGUGAUCCGGUGGUUCUGAAUGGAAGGGCCAUCGCUCAACGGAUAAAAGGUACUCCGGGGAUAACAGGCUGAUACCGCCCAAGAGUUCAUAUCGACGGCGGUGUUUGGCACCUCGAUGUCGGCUCAUCACAUCCUGGGGCUGAAGUAGGUCCCAAGGGUAUGGCUGUUCGCCAUUUAAAGUGGUACGCGAGCUGGGUUUAGAACGUCGUGAGACAGUUCGGUCCCUAUCUGCCGUGGGCGCUGGAGAACUGAGGGGGGCUGCUCCUAGUACGAGAGGACCGGAGUGGACGCAUCACUGGUGUUCGGGUUGUCAUGCCAAUGGCACUGCCCGGUAGCUAAAUGCGGAAGAGAUAAGUGCUGAAAGCAUCUAAGCACGAAACUUGCCCCGAGAUGAGUUCUCCC